GACGAACGCUGGCGGCGUGCUUAACACAUGCAAGUCGAGCGGUAAGGCCCUUUCGGGGGUACGACGAGCGGCGAACGGGUGAGUAACACGUGGGUGACCUGCCCUCAGCUCUGGGAUAAGCCUGGGAAACCGGGUCUAAUACCGGAUAUGACUCCAUGACGCAUGUUGUGGGGUGGAAAGCCUUGUGCGGCUGAGGAUGGGCCCGCGGCCUAUCAGCUUGUUGGUGGGGUGAUGGCCUACCAAGGCGACGACGGGUAGCCGGCCAGAGAGGGCGACCGGCCACACUGGGACUGAGACACGGCCCAGACUCCUACGGGAGGCAGCAGUGGGGAAUCUUGCGCAAUGGGCGAAAGCCUGACGCAGCGACGCCGCGUGAGGGACGACGGCCU
rnacentral:rRNA from 1 species